CCUACGGGGGGCUGCAGUGGGGAAUAUUGGACAAUGGGCGCAAGCCUGAUCCAGCAAUGCCGCGUGUGUGAAGAAGGUCUUCGGAUUGUAAAGCACUUUCGACGGGGACGAUGAUGACGGUACCCGUAGAAGAAGCCCCGGCUAACUUCGUGCCAGCAGCCGCGGUAAUACGAAGGGGGCUAGCGUUGCUCGGAAUUACUGGGCGUAAAGGGCGCGUAGGCGGCCCUGCAAGUCAGGCGUGAAAUUCCCGGGCUCAACCUGGGGGCUGCGCUUGA
rnacentral:rRNA from 1 species